rnacentral:rRNA from 1 species
UACGGAGGGGGCUAGCGUUGUCCGAAGUUACUGGGCGUAAAGCGCGCGUAGGCGGGUUGGUAAGUCCGCUGUGAAAGCCCGGAGCUUAACUCCGGAGGGUCGGUGGAUACUGCCAGUCUUGAAGGUGCUAGGGGGAGAUGGAAUUACCGGUGUAGCGGUGAAAUGCGUAGAUAUCGGUAGGAACACCGGUGGCGAAGGCGGUUCUCUGGGCCUGUACUGACGCUGAGGAGCGAAAGCGUGGGGAGCGAACAGG